GUAGUUCAGUGGAUAGCAUGUUGGACAUCUAAUCCGAAGGUCAUGGGUUCGAAUCCCACCUCG
rnacentral:tRNA from 1 species